rnacentral:rRNA from 1 species
GAUGAACGCUGGCGGCGUGCCUAAUACAUGCAAGUCGAGCGAACAGACGAGGAGCUUGCUCCUCUGACGUUAGCGGCGGACGGGUGAGUAACACGUGGAUAACCUACCUAUAAGACUGGGAUAACUUCGUGAAACCGGAGCUAAUACCGGAUAAUAUAUUGAACCGCAUGGUUCAAUAGUGAAAGACGGUUUUGCUGUCACUUAUAGAUGGAUCCGCGCCGCAUUAGCUAGUUGGUAAGGUAACGGCUUACCAAGGCAACGAUGCGUAGCCGACCUGAGAGGGUGAUCGGCCACACUGGAACUGAGACACGGUCCAGACUCCUACGGGAGGCAGCAGUAGGGAAUCUUCCGCAAUGGGCGAAAGCUUGACGGAGCAACGCCGCGUGAGUGAUGAAGGUCUUCGGAUCGUAAAACUCUGUUAUUAGGGAAGAACAAAUGUGUAAGUAACUAUGCACGUAUUGACGGUACCUAAUCAGAAAGCCACGGCUAACUCCGUG